rnacentral:rRNA from 1 species
UACAGAGGGGGCAAGCGUUGUUCGGAAUUACUGGGCGUAAAGGGCGCGUAGGUGGCCUUCUAAGUUGAACGUGAAAUCCCUGGGCUCAACCCAGGAACUGCGUCCAAGACUGGGAGGUUUGAAUCCGGGAGAGGGAUGCGGAAUUCCAGGUGUAGCGGUGAAAUGCGUAGAUAUCUGGAGGAACACCGGUGGCGAAGGCGGCGUUCUGGACUGUUUCUGACACUGAAAAACGAAAGCCAGGGGAGCAAACGGG